rnacentral:misc_RNA from 1 species
GAUGAAGAACGCAGCGAAAUGCGAUAAGUAAUGUGAAUUGCAGAGUUCAGUGAAUCAUCGAAUCUUUGAACGCACAUUGCGCCCGCCAGCAUUCUGGCGGGCAUGCCUGUUCGAGCGUCAUUUCAACCCUCAAGCUCUGCUUGGUGUUGGGGCCCUACGGUUGACGUAGGCCCUUAAAGGUAGUGGCGGACCCUCUCGGAGCCUCCUUUGCGUAGUAACUAACGUCUCGCAUUGGGAUUCGGAGGGACUCUUGCCGUAAAACCCCCAAAUUUUCUAAUGGUUGACCUCGGAUCAGGUAGGAAUACCCGCUGAACUUAAGCAUAUCAAUAAGCGGAGGA